rnacentral:lncRNA from 1 species
UUGAUUAUUUUGCUAUGUUGGGAUGGCAAGAGUUGGUGUUGAAUUUAAACUCUGAUGAUGGAGGGAUCCCACAUCAGUAAGCUAACAUAGGAGUGGAUGCGAAGCUGGCUUUAAAUAGAGAGAACUAUGAGGAGAGCAAAUGUACCUUUCUUGGCUGAUCCCUUUCGCGUUAUGGCGUGCUCGUUUGGGUUGGGCAUCGGCUAGAAGUGCUCAGAGUGCGGAUUAACUCCAGUCUCCUAUCAGGUGUGUAUUUAUCACUACUCUUGUUGUUGGAUGGCUACUUCGGGCCGCGAUGGGCCGAAAGGGGCCAUGUGGCCGAAUGGGCCUACGGGCCCAAUUGGAUAAGUUGUUUGAUUGUGUAGUAAAUAUUGGACUAGGCUAGGUGAAUCGAAUAUCUGUGGCUAGGUUUGGGCUAAAAGGGCCACACAAGCGUGUGGGCCCAUUUGGGCCGAGAAUAGGCUUUAGGCCCAUUCGUAUUGUUAUCUAUGUUUAGAAUACUUUAGUUUACCAAUUACUGAAAUGCCCUCUACUUGUAAAAUUACCAAAGUACUCCCGGUUUACAGAAUUACCAUUUUACCCUCAGUUUACAGAAUUACCAUUUUACCCUCAAUUUACAGAAUUACCAUUUUACCCUCAGUUUACAGAAUUACUAUUUUACCCUCGAUUUAUAGAAUUAUCGUUUUACCCUCGAUUUACAAAAUUACCAAAAUACCCCUAGUUUAUAAAAUUACAAAAAUACCCAUGGUUUGCGAAAUUACUAAAAUACCCCUGUAGGGUAGAAUAAUCGAAAUACCCCUGUAGGGUAGAAUUAUCAUUUUGCCCCUAGGGUGUUAAAUGACUAUUUUGCCCUUGUGGGCAAGUGACUGACUUGGACUGUGUGAUAUAGACAACUUUGGAGGAGCAGCGAGGCUUGGAGUAUCGACUUGGAUAAGCUUGAAUCGUAUUAUUGGACCCUGUGAAGGUAAGCAACUUAUGGUCAAUAAGGGUUCUUUGGCCGAAUAAGGUAGGGUGGAUUUUGAGUUUAUUAAGCAUAACUUGUAUGCUAAAAAUGGUGAUGAAUAAUUGUAAGACAUCGUAAGGGAUCUCAGUAGCAGUCGUCGCGAAACAGGUGUGUACCGAACACCCUUUCUUAGUUCAAUUCGGCAAAAGCCGAAAUGCAGAAAUUCUGGCAUUUCAUAGGCUUGUGGGCAUGCGAAUGCUCUCAAGACAUAGAGUAAUUGUUAGAUCUAACACCGCAAAGUGGUAAGUAAGUUCGUGUGACAUUUUAGCGUACUUAGAAUAAAGGGGCCAGAUGGGCCAAAAUUGGGCCCAAUGGGCUUACAGACCAAUAUGGGUAAGAUAUGGGCAAAGUAGCAUGUUAGUUAGAUGGUGGAACCAAAUUGCAUAAAAUGGCUAAAAAAAAAUUACUGAAAUAACGUGUGUAGUUGCGUAAGUACGAAAUUACCCCUCAGGGCAUAAAUACCGAAAUACCCCUAGGGUUUAAAUUGGCUAAACUGCAUGAUUGAUUAAUACUAUAUUGUACAUGAUAUGCUUUAUUAAUAUCUGUUGCAUGGGAUUGGGUUAUUGAUGGAGGAAGUAUUGAAAGUGGUUCAUCCACGUACUGGAGGCUUUGCCUCAACUUACUGAUAUUUGAGCAGUGUUGCUGCAACUGUGGAGUGUAGGGCUGGGUGGGUUGAGAUAUUCCCCACAUGGAGUGUAGGGCUGGUACGGGGCAGUGUAGCGGUUGGUGGGUUGAGUAGUCUCCCCAGAUGGGUUUGCAUGCAUUACUACUAUUGUUACCUAUGUUACUGAACUGGGCCUAUGGGCCACACUGUUAUGUAAAAAAAAGGGCUAAGGCCUUGCUACUGUGUUCUGAAAAGGGCUUGGGUCCACUGUGUACUGUUAUCUGAAUAGGGCUUAGGCCCAAUGGGCUCGAGCUGAUUUGGGCUUUGGAUGGGUUUCUGUAUACACUGAGCUUUCCCAAACUCAGCCCUUCCUCUUCCAUCCUUGCAGGUGAGCCCUAGUUGGUGGACUUGGAGCUGGGCGGGAUUCAGAGUGGCCAUGAAGAUUGAUUGCCGAUUUUAAAAAGUUUAGCAUUUAAUUUGGAUUGUUUUUAUUGUGCUUAAAGUUGUAAUAAGGCCGUUCUUUUUAAUUAAUUUUAUUUUGGGGAUUAUUAAACUGGUUAGCACUAGGGUUCGUUUUAUAAAAACUACUUGUUUUUAAAAGAUCACGAUGACGCGCAAAGUUUCCGCAAAGUAAAUGUUUUUCCAAGAAAAUAAAUAUUUUAAGCAAACGUUUUUCAACCUUAAUCACUUUCUUAAGAUGGACAUCAUCAAACGGUUUUCUCAAAAUUAUACAAGAUGUUAGAGUGUGGCAAUGGCGGUGUGCAUGUCUAGGAUUGGAUCCGAAGGGAGCUUGGUACUUAAGCAGUCUGACGGUCUAACCUCCUCUUCUUCCUGGUUUCCUACCUGGUGCACAGCUUCCGUUCACUUUAACCUACUUUUAAAAGUGUCUUUUACAACACCAACUAAAAUUUUCCAAACUAAGUAAUACGGAAUGUUUUGAACGCUUCGAUGUGGCGCAUCAGAUCCGGUCAUAACGUCUAGGCUGGGUUUGGGGUGUUACAUUUAGUGGUAUCAGAGCCUGGUUACAACAACUUGGCUGUGGAUCGGGUCUGAAAAUCUUAAAAAAAGUUUUUUUCUAUAGGUUUUUCAAAGAUGUUCAAAGUUUUUCUAUUGAACGAGGUUAAAUCAAUAGUUUUAAAAUAAAAGUGUUUUCAAAUGAAAUCUUUUUAUUUUCGGUAUUCAAAAACAUGGGUUUUUAUGGACUGAUAAAGAAGUGGCACACUGAAUCCCCGGCAUCAAGUCUGUAAGUGUUCUUUUUCUGCUUUAAAUAUUUAUAUGGAACUGGACUGGAAAUAAUACUAUAGAUAGUACUGAGCCUUAGAGAUAGUGCUAUUGAUAAGGUAGUAUUAGGGCUACAAAACUGAGACUGUAGCUAAAUUGUGAUUGCGCGAAAAUAACUCUGAAACUUUAUCUGUUCAUAAGACAUUCUGUAAUAAACAGUGGAAACAGUAAACUAACGUCAUAAAAUUCAUAAUCAGAUAAAUCGAUAUGAGUUCGAGGGCUGCCCGAGAAAGAGGCCAUGGUCGAGGCCGAGGUAGUACUCAAGCUGGAUCUGCGUCCUCUGAACAUAUACCAGCUGGCGGGGCACGACCACCACCGGUUAAUGAAAAUGGGCCAUAUGAUCGGGCCGCAGGGGAUGACGCUUUGUCUCAAGCGAUGUUAAGGAUUUUGGAAAGGGUUGCUGGAGCUAGCACCGGGAUAGUGAUAGUAGGAUCAGAGUGCGCAGCGGUAGCGUAGUGGGGUAGAUGUUAGAUGACUACCCUAUUAAAUGGAAAUUUCGAAGACGAAAUUUCUUUAAGGGAGGUAGAGUUGUAACACCCUGAAUUUGGGCCUAGAAGUUUGGGCCUUGAGCAUGGGAGCGGUUGAAGGCAGCUUUUAAUAUUUUGUUGUGCAUGUAAAUUUUGUUAAUGAAGACUUGUUUUAGUGGUUAAGUGUGUUGAGAAGUGUUGGAGAAGUCUUGGGUUCAAACCUGGACUCUAGUAAAAAUUUAAGGUAGAUCAAACCCUGGGUGUAGUAGGUAGGCCUUAAGAAUAUUGUUGGAGAAAUUGUGACACAAAAAGGAGUGUGGUGUAGUGGCAAGGUGACGCCACUUAGGGGACAAGGAAGUGACGCCAUAGAGGAACAAGGGGUCCAAGGUUCAAGUCUUGGCUCUUGCAAUAUAUUUUGGUUUUUCUUUUCAAUAAAUCUAGAAGCAAGUAGGUGCACUUUAAAGUUUAAUGUGUUGGAUUUAUGACACAAAUGAGUUGGUGGCCUAGUGGUGAUGGCGUGAGUUGGCAUAUAGGAGGACUUUGGUUCGAAUCCCUUGGCAUGCAAAGGUUGAUUAUUUUGCUAUGUUGGGAUGGCAAGAGUUGGUGUUGAAUUUAAACUCUGAUGAUGGAGGGAUCCCACAUCGGUAAGCUAACAUAGGAGUGGAUGCGAAGCUGGCUUUAAAUAGAGAGAACUAUGAGGAGAGCAAAGGUACCUUUCUUGGCUGAUCCCUUUCGCGUUAUGGCGUGCUCGUUUGGGUUGGGCAUCGGCUAGAAGUGCUCAGAGCACGGAUUAACUCCAGUCUCCUAUUAGGUGUGUAUUUAUCACUACUCUUGUUGUUGGAUGGCUAAUUCGGGCCGCGAUGGGCCGAAAGGGGCCAUGUGGGCCGAAUGGGCCUAUGGGCCCAAUUGGAUAAGUUGUUUGAUUGUGUAGUAAAUAUUGGACUAGGCUAGGUGAAUCGAAUAUCUGUGGCUAGUUUGGGCUAAAAGGGCCACACGAGCGUGUGGGCCCAUUUGGGCUGAGAAUAGGCUUUAGGCCCAUUCGUAUUGUUAUCCAUGUUUAGAAUACUUUAGUUUACCAAUUACUGAAAUGCCCUCGACUUGUAAAAUUACCAAAGUACUCCCGAUUUAUAGAAUUAUCGUUUUACCCUCAGUUUACAGAAUUACCAUUUUACCCUCAAUUUCAAGAAUUACCAUUUUACCCUCAGCUACAUAAUUACUAUUUUACCCUCGAUUUAUAGAAUUAUCGUUUUACCCUCGAUUUACAAAAUUACCAAAAUACCCCUGGUUUAUAAAAUUACCAAAAUACCCAUGGUAUGCAAAAUUACUAAAAUACCCCUGUAGGGUAAAAUUAUCGAAAUACCCUUGUAGGAUAGAAUUACUAUUUUGCCCCUAGGGUGUUAAAUGACUAUUUUGCCCUUGUGGGCAAGUGACUGACUUGGACUGUGUGAUAUAGACAACUUUGGAGGAGCAGCGAGGCUUGAAGUAUCGACUUGGAUAAGCUUGAAUCGUAUUAUUGGAGCCUGUGAAGGUAAGCAACUUAUGGUCAAUAAGGGUUCUUUGGCCGAAUAAGGUAGGGUGGAUUUUGAGUUUAUUAAGCAUAACUUGUAUGUUAAAAAUGGUGAUGAAUAAUUGUAGGACAUCGUAAGGGAUCUCAGUAGCAGUCGUCGCGAAACAGGUGUGUACCGAACACCCUUUCUUAGUUCAAUUCGGCAAAAGCCGAAAUGCCGAAAUUCUGGCAUUUCAUAGGCUUGUGGGUAUGCGAAUGCUCUCAAGACAUAGAGUAAUUGUUAGAUCUAACACCGCAAAGUGGUAAGUAAGUUCGUGUGACAUUUUAGCGUACUUCGGAAAAAGGGGCCAGAUAGGCCAAAACUGGGCCCAAUGGGCUUACGGACCAAUAUGGGUAAGAUAUGGGCAAAGUAGCAUGUUAGCUAGAUGGUGGAACCAAAUUGCAUAAAACGGCUAAAAAAAUUUACUGAAAUAACGUGUGUAGUUGCGUAUGUACGAAAUUACCCCUCAGGGCAUAAAUACCGAAAUACCCCUAGGGUUUAAAUUGGCUAAACUGCAUGAUUGAUUAAUACUAUAUUGUACAUGAUAUGCUUUAUUAAUAUCUGUUGCAUGGGAUUGGGUUAUUGAUGGAGGAAGUAUUGAAAGUGGUUCAUCCACGUACUGGAGGCUUUGCCUCAACUUACUGAUAUUUGAGCAGCGUUGCUGCAACUGUGGAGUGUAGGGCUGGGUGGGUUGAGAUAUUCCCCACAUGGAGUGUAGGGCUGGUACGGGGCAGUGUAGCGGUUGGUGGGUUGAGUAGUCUCCCCAGAUGGGUUUGCAUGCAUUACUACUAUUGUUACCUAUGUUACUGAACUGGGCCUAUGGGCCACACUGUUAUGUAAAAAAAAGGGCUAAGGCCUUGCUACUGUGUUCUAAAAAGGGCUUGGGUCCACUGUGUACUGUUAUCUGAAUAGGGCUUAGGCCCAAUGGGCUCAAGCUGAUUUGGGCUUUGGAUGGGUUUCUGUAUACACUGAGUUUUCCCAAACUCACCCCUUCCUCUUCCAUCCUUGUAGGUGAGCCCUAGUUGGUGGACUUGGAGCUGGGCGGGAUUCAGAGUGGCCAUGAAGAUUGAUUGCCGAUUUUAAAUAAGUUUAGCAUUUAAUUUGGAUUAUUUUUAUUGUGCUUAAAGUUGUAAUAAGGCCGCUCUUUUUAAUUAAUUUUAUUUUGGGGAUUAUUAAACUGGUUAGCACUAGGGUUC